rnacentral:rRNA from 1 species
GAGUACAAUAUUUUUGAUGUUCAGCGGCGCAAGGGUGUGUAACACGUGGGUAAUUUGCCGUAAAGUUUGGGACAACUCGCUGAAAGGCGAGCUAAUACCGAAUGUGAAUAUAAAAAAGCAUUUUUAUGUAUUCAAAGUUGGAACCGUAAGGUCUGACGCUUUUCGAUAAGCCCGCGGCCUAUCAGCUAGUUGGUGAGGUAAUGGCUCACCAAGGCUAGGACGGGUAGCUGGUCUGAGAGGACGACCAGCCACACUGGAACUGAGACACGGUCCAGACACCUACGGGUGGCAGCAGUCGAGAAUUUUUCACAAUGGGCGAAAGCCUGAUGGAGCGACGCCGCGUGGGGGAUGAAUGGCUUCGGCCCGUAAACCCCUGUCAUUUGCGAACAAAUCUUGUUAUUAAAUAGAUAGCAAACUGAUAGUAGCGAAAGAGGAAGGGACGGCUAACUCUGUGCCAGCAGCCGCGGUAAUACAGAGGUCCCAAGCGUUGUUCGGAUUUACUGGGCGUAAAGGGUGCGUAGGUGGUGAGGUAAGUCUGAUGUGAAAUCUCCGAGCUUAACUCGGAAAUGGCAUUGGAAACUACCUGACUUGAGGGUUUGAGGGGGGACUGGAAUACUUGGUGUAGCAGUGAAAUGCGUAGAUAUCAAGUGG